rnacentral:misc_RNA from 1 species
UUAGAGGAAGUAAAAGUCGUAACAAGGUUUCCGUAGGUGAACCUGCGGAAGGAUCAUUAUCGAAUUACCGGCAAAGGUUGUAGCUGGCCUCUCGGGGUAUGUGCACGCCUGAGCCCUUAAUCCAAAACACCUGUGAACCCACUGUAGGCCUUAGGGCCUAUGUCUUUUACCAACCCUUUGUAUGUCUUAUAGAAUGUAUAAUGUCAUUGCAGUAAAACGCAAUUAAUACAACUUUCAACAACGGAUCUCUUGGCUCUCGCAUCGAUGAAGAACGCAGCGAAAUGCGAUAAGUAAUGUGAAUUGCAGAUUUUCAGUGAAUCAUCGAAUCUUUGAACGCACCUUGCGCUCCUUGGUAUUCCGAGGAGCAUGCCUGUUUGAGUGUCAUUAAAUUCUCAACCCCACCGAUUUGUUUCGGUGGAGGCUUGGAUUUGGGGCGUGCUGGCGCAGGUCGGCUCCUCCUUAAAUGCAUCAGCGGAAAUUAAAUCCUUGCUGUCAUCAGUGUGAUAAUCAUGUUACGCUGUUAUCAGGCUUGGGGUCCGCUUACAAUGGUCUUUGGACAACCACAUCAAUUUUGACCUCAAAUCAGGUAGGACUACCCGCUGAACUUAAGCAUAUCAAUAAGCGGAGGAAAAGAAACUAACAAGGAUUCCCCUAGUAACUGCGAGUGAAGCGGGAAAAGCUCAAAUUUAAAAUCUGGCGGUCCCAGGCCGUCCGAGUUGUAAUCUGGAGAAGCGUUUUCCGCGUUGGACCGUGUACA